rnacentral:tRNA from 1 species
GGGGCUGUGGUCUAGCUUGGUAUGAUGCAACCUUGGGGUGGUUGUGAUCCCCGGUUCGAAUCCGGGCAGUCCCA